rnacentral:misc_RNA from 1 species
CAGGGUACAUACAAUUUCGGACUGGAAAAUAAAGUUCUCAUACAUACUAAUAAUGGGAUCAAAUAAAACACAAAGUAGAUAGGACAUUGUGCAAGAGACGACUUCAAUGUUGUUAUGGGUUGGAAAGCAACUCUUUGCAGUUGCUUUUCUCAUAUUUGAACCUUCGGAUGCUGGCCAGGGGCUAGCAUUCCCAUAUGAGAUGAGCAACAGCAAAGACUUGCUUUUGAACCUACGGAUGCUGGCCAGGGGCGGGCUAGCAUUCCCAUCUUAAUGCCAUCUGUUUCUAUUAUAGCCCCUGCAAGAUUUUUUCUUGAAGCACUCGAUUAAAUCAUUUGCAGUGUCGAUACCUGCAAAGUAAGCACCAGUAGCAUAUCCUAUAUAUUUAUUGCUGGUGUGCUCCCCUGUGAAGUAUACAGGACCAACAGGAUCCGCCAAUUGGUCUUUGCGUUUUUGACUGUAGCUAUCAGGCCAAUUAGAAUAGCUGCCCUUGUAGAACCUGUCCAAGCCCCAUCUAGGUACGAGAAUGGAUUCUGGUUUUGGAAUGUUAUCCCCAAACAACUUUUUAAGUAUUACCAUUAUCUCUGCUUCAAUUGCUUCAUCAGGCAAUUGCUCUAUUCUCCUUGACUCAUCAGCUGUUACCGUUACAAACAAUAUAUUUGAUCCUGGAUAUUCAUUCUCCAGAUGCUGCCAAAGUGGAUAGUAUCCACGCCUCACAUGGGUGUAGAGGAAGAACUCGGUUCCAGAGCCGGAAGGCCAGAACUUGUAAGGGAACUUUAGAAAGAUCUUGGUAUAUAUGGUCAUGCCAAAGUCUGAUAUUGCAAUUCUUUUCCAUAGCGGUAAAGUGGGCUGGAACUCAAUUAGGUCACUCUGAAGAACUCCAAGGCUGACAGAUACGAUAACAUACUUGGAAUUGUAUGUGGAACCAUCUUCAGUUUUUAUGGUAACUCCGCUCUUUGAGUAGCUUAUCUCUCUAACUACCUUAUUUAGCUUAAGCCUGGGAUCACUUGUCAAAGAAGAAAGGAACUGCUUAGCAAGAUACUGAACUACAAUCUCAAAGCCUCUCGGAUCAGCCACGAAGUAUGGAUCCUCUCCAUGGUCUACAAACUCGUUUCGAGGGUAAGUGUGCUUCAAACUAGUCACUUUUGGUGGCUCUGCGUCUUCAUAAUCAUUGUGAUAGAAGUCGAUCACCAUUUCAAGUGGGGUUUUGGGCACCUGUUUGAAUAUUCGCUGUGCUGCCAAAAUUGAAACAUCAACAUCCUUCUUUUUGGAUGACAAUUUUUUCGAAAACUUUUCACAGAAAUCAUCUCUGGCGGUGGCAACCUUAUCAAUUUCCUCUACCAGCUUGGAAGGGUAUAGUCCACCUUCUUGUUUAUAGGUGUUUGAUGUGAGAUUUUCAUUGUCAUUGAGGGAAGUUCUGAGCUUAAGUUUUUUGGCAAUGUCCAGCAAGGGAUUGGCCACAGGCCCCCCACCAAAAAGCCAAUUGGCACCCUUCUCAACAGUAAGUCCACUAAAUUGAGUUUUCAUGAGACGACCACCAAUCCUAGGAGUUGCCUCUACAAUCAACAUAUCAUGAAUCCCUGCCUCAUGUAGCGUUUUUGCUGCUGCAAUUCCUGAAAUUCCGGCUCCGAUGACAAUGACGGUGGGCGACGGUGAGGCCGAUGCAGCAGCCAAGAAGAAACAGAGAAGAAAGAGAAGCACCAUGGCCAAAAGCUUCUGCAUCAUACUUGAACAGCAAGUUGACUGCUGAUGACCACUGAGUGGGAAGGCUUCC